UGAGGAAUAUUGGUCAAUGGGCGGAAGCCUGAACCAGCCAAGUCGCGUGAGGGAAGACGGUCCUAUGGAUUGUAAACCUCUUUUGCCGGGGAGCAAAGCCGGGCUCGUGAGCCCGGAAGGAGAGUACCCGGAGAAAAAAGCAUCGGCUAACUCCGUGCCAGCAGCCGCGGUAAUACGGAGGAUGCGAGCGUUAUCCGGAUUUAUUGGGUUUAAAGGGUGCGUAGGCGGGAUCUUAAGUCAGCGGUAAAAAGUGCGGGGCUCAACCCCGUAGUGCCGUUGAAACUGAGGUUCUUGAGUGGGCGAGAAGUAUGCGGAAUGCGUGGUGUAGCGGUGAAAUGCAUAGAUAUCACGCAGAACUCCGAUUGCGAAGGCAGCAUACCGGCGCCCAACUGACGCUGAGGCACGAAAGCGUGGGGAUCGAACAGGAUUAGAUACC
rnacentral:rRNA from 1 species